AGCAAAGUCAAACAUUAAAUCAGCUGUCCUUAGCCACACACACAAGAGAAAUGGCAAGCACAGAACAACUUCCGCUGUCCCGUUAUGUUGUCCCUGUUCUUCUCUUGAUUGGGUGGAUUGCAGGUUGUGCAUUAAUGGUUUACUAUGUCUUCUCCUAGAAGAAGGGAAGAAACCUUGGCAAAAGCACUUUGAAACUGGAUGAAGAUUCUGUUUUCUUUUUUUAUUCUAUAUUAAAUUAAAUUCUAGUAAUGUAAAGGAGCGAUCAUAUGUAUACAUUUGUCAGAAUUCANCACCUUACAUUCUCAGAUCAGAUCCAUGAAAUCAGGAAACAGGCAGAGAAGUGAAACAUCAUGAUCUUCACCUUAUUGCGAUAAUAGAAUACAAGGAAAU
rnacentral:lncRNA from 1 species